AGUUUGAUCCUGGCUCAGGAUGAACGCUGGCGGCGUGCCUAAUACAUGCAAGUCGAGCGAACAGAUAAGGAGCUUGCUCCUUUGACGUUAGCGGCGGACGGGUGAGUAACACGUGGAUAACCUACCUAUAAGACUGGGAUAACUUCGGGAAACCGGAGCUAAUACCGGAUAAGAUUUUGAACCGCAUGGUUCAAUAGUGAAAGACGGCCUUGCUGUCACUUAUAGAUGGAUCCGCGCCGUAUUAGCUAGUUGGUAAGGUAACGGCUUACCAAGGCAACGAUACGUAGCCGACCUGAGAGGGUGAUCGGCCACACUGGAACUGAGACACGGUCCAGACUCCUACGGGAGGCAGCAGUAGGGAAUCUUCCGCAAUGGGCGAAAGCCUGACGGAGCAACGCCGCGUGAGUGAUGAAGGUCUUCGGAUCGUAAAACUCUGUUAUCAGGGAAGAACAAACGUGUAAGUAACUGUGCACGUCUUGACGGUACCUGAUCAGAAAGCCACGGCUAACUACGUGCCAGCAGCCGCGGUAAUACGUAGGUGGCAAGCGUUAUCCGGAAUUAUUGGGCGUAAAGCGCGCGUAGGCGGUUUUUUAAGUCUGAUGUGAAAGCCCACGGCUCAACCGUGGAGGGUCAUUGGAAACUGGAAAACUUGAGUGCAGAAGAGGAAAGUGGAAUUCCAUGUGUAGCGGUGAAAUGCGCAGAGAUAUGGAGGAACACCAGUGGCGAAGGCGACUUUCUGGUCUGUAACUGACGCUGAUGUGCGAAAGCGUGGGGAUCAAACAGGAUUAGAUACCCUGGUAGUCC
rnacentral:rRNA from 1 species